rnacentral:pre_miRNA from 6 species
UCUACAGUGCACGUGUCUCCAGUGUGGCUCGGAGGCUGGAGACGCGGCCCUGUUGGAGU